rnacentral:lncRNA from 1 species
UUCGAUUCAAACUCUUUCAACCUUAAAUCUUUGCCCGGAAAGCUUCAUCGACAUCAUCUGAAGCUAAUUGUAUCAUCACUUUGCCUUGGAACUUCUUGCAUUGUGCUUCCUAUUUCUGCCAUUGUUGACCUUCAAAGCUUCAAAUGGAAAGGUAGCUACGAGUUAAAUACCUGAGCAAACAAGUUAUCAGUCUCUUCACAUUGUUCCACUGUUCAAAUGCC